UAAGAUUAUUUUUAAAGUAAGAUUUGCUCUAUGAUUAUUUAAAUGGCUGCAGUAUUUUGACUGUACAAAGGUAGCAUAAUAAUUUGGUUCUUAAUUAGAAUCUAGUAUGAAUGAUUUAAUGAGAAUUAUAUUUUAUUAUUAUUAUUAUUAUAAUUUUAAUUUUUAGUUAAAAUGCUAAAAUUUAAUUUAGGGACGAUAAGACCCUAUAGAAUUUUAUUUUUUUUUUAAUAUAUUUAUUAAAAUUUAUUUUUAAUUGGGGUGAUUAUUAAAUUUAUUCUUUAUUUUUUUAAAUCAUUUUUUUAUGUAUUUUUGAUCUCUUAUUUUUGGAAUAUAAGUUUAAAUUACCUUAGGGAUAACAGCGUAAUUUUUAUGGGGAGUUCAUAUCUAUAUAAUUGUUUGCGACCUCGAUGUUGAAUUAAGAUUAAAUUUUAGGUGAAGUAG
rnacentral:rRNA from 1 species